UACGGGGGGGGUAAGCGUUGUUCGGAAUUACUGGGCGUAAAGGGCUCGUAGGCGGCCAACUAAGUCAUACGUGAAAUCCCUCAGCUUAACUGGGGAACUGCGUGUGAUACUGGAUGGCUUGGAUUUGGGAGAGGGAUGCGGAAUUCCUGGUGUAGCGGUGAAAUGCGCAGAUAUCAGGAAGAACACCCGUGGCGAAGGCGGCUCUCUGGGACGGUACUGACGCUGAGACGCGAAAGCGUGGGGAGCGAACAGG
rnacentral:rRNA from 1 species